rnacentral:rRNA from 1 species
GGCGUAAAGCGCACGCAGGCGGUCUGUCAAGUCGGAUGUGAAAUCCCCGGGCUCAACCUGGGAACUGCAUUCGAAACUGGCAGGCUAGAGUCUUGUAGAGGGGGGUAGAAUUCCAGGUGUAGCGGUGAAAUGCGUAGAGAUCUGGAGGAAUACCGGUGGCGAAGGCGGCCCCCUGGACAAAGACUGACGCUCAGGUGCGAAAGCGUGGGGAGCAAACAGGAUUAGAUACCUGGUAGUCCACGCCGUAAACGAUGUCGAUUUGGAGGUUGUGCCCUUGAGGCGUGGCUUCCGGAGCUAACGCGUUAAAUCGACCGCCUGGGGAGUACG